rnacentral:rRNA from 1 species
GACGAACCGUGCGAACGUUGUUCGGAAUCACUGGGCUUAAAGCGCGUGUAGGCGGAAGGGCACGUCCGUUGCUGAAAUCCCCCGGCUCAACCGGGGAACGGGCGCGGAUACGACUCUUCUGGAGGGGCGUAGGGGGACCUGGAACUUCCGGUGGAGCGGUGAAAUGCGUUGAGAUCGGAAGGAACGCCCGUGGCGAAAGCGAGGUCCUGGACGCCUACUGACGCUGAGACGCGAAAGCCAGGGGAGCGAACGGG